GCCGGGCGCACCCGUCCCGUUCGUCCCCGGACGUUGCUCUCUGCCCCGGGAACGUCGAGACUGGAGCGCCCGAACUGAGCCACCUUCGCGAACUCGGAGCGCGGCGGCCCGACUCAACCGCGGAGGCGCCCGGACGCGUAAAGUCAAGGCCUCAACCCGAAGGCAGCGCCUAAGAAUCGCACUCCCUAGAAUGCUCCAGCACUCACAGGGGCCUUCUCUGGGGUAACGGGACCCCAGCCGGAUACUACAGCUCCAGCUGCUUGCGUCCCAUGCAUCGCCCUCUCGGGAGAGACCAGCUACCUAACUUUCUCUACCAGAGACCGCGCUGGCGUCUCGGGAGGGAUGCUCUGCCCAGGGAGUCCCUCGGUCGCGGGACCUGUGGCCGCCAGAGCAGCUGGAUCUGGAGUGUGCUGCCUGUGAACAGCCUGUGAAAGUGGCUCUUCUCCCUCUGGGUCAGAGGAUGUCUCUGCUCUGGGGGCAAGGGAGUAAACAUCAGCACUUCCCACCUGAAGGAAGCCAUCAGACUCCUUUGCUGUUUCUAGCACUCUUUGUAAGGUCUUUCAGGAGGACUUCAGAAAUCUCCCUGAACGUGCCUGGCUGGGGGUUCCACUCAUGGUUCUAUCCCUAAGCAGGGCUCCUCUGAGCUUACAGAUCAACCCCCCCCCCACUCUCUUUCAGACUUAGGUGGUAAAGUGAGAAGAGACUCUGGCUGGAGAGUCUGAGAGACAGAUUGGGAGCUUCUGGGCGCUGUCUUGGGUAGAGCAAGAGAUAGUUCUCUUCAGCCCAAGAUCCCCUCAUCUCUGGGAGAUACCAGUCUAGGGCUUGUGUCCUGCUUCUUCCUAUAAGGACCUGGGACAGGGAUAUGAGGCCGAUCCUCCCCUUCUCGCAUUAUGUGUGUAGGUGCAUAUGCCAUGUGGCAGCCAUAGUCUGGGACAGAUAGAAGUCCUUCUGGUCCUGCUCUAUGGGACCAGUCACCCCUGAACAUCACCCCUUUCUGAUAUGGGACACUUGGGAAACCCUGCCAUCCACAUUUCUGGACAGGGGCGGGUGUUGUGUGGGAAAUAGGCUACACCCCACACCUCAGGAUUCCAGAGCCUUGGAUGAAGAACCCAGGCCUUCGACUUCCCUGGCAUCCUGUACAGGUGAGGAAAGACCCAAGGGGUGCCAGUGAUUCUGGCUUUGGGGACACAUACCUGGCUUGACAACCACACCAGUGCUCCCUACCUUUCUGCGGUUCCUCCUCAUCUCUAUUUUCCUCCCCAGUCCUCUUUUCCCAUGCCCUUCAGGGGAGCACCCCUAACUAGCUGUAGUUCUCAGCCUUUCUACCAGUUACUUAAACUAUCUUGUCUUGUCCCAGUGGUCUAGAACAUGAAUACUGGCCCAAGGCCAAGACUCUUCUGAAAUCCAUGAGGGGUGUAGGCCUCAGUGGACCUGGCAGAUUUGGGAAGGGACACAAGUUGGGGUACUUGUCCUGUUUCAAGAGCCGGGGUGGGAUGGUAUGCUCUGGGCUCUCCUGCCUGCUUUCUCCCAGCUCCAGCAGAGGGCAGACAGGGAGAGAAAGGAGGGAUGCACUGGGCUGGGUCCAUUUGGUAUCUUGGACCAACUUGGUGGAGGAGGAGGGCCAAGGUCCUGGCAUGACUGAGGAGGACUGGCCUUUGGCCAGUCUUCCACUCCCAAGAUUUGGGUAGUAGUGGUCUGCCAGGGAAGGAGUGCUUAGAGGGCCUGACACUAACCCCUUCAUCUCCUAGCCUCCGGGUGGGGUUGGUGUGCAGUGUGUGGCAGGCAUAGUCUCUGCCUCCCAUUCCCAAGGCUGUCAGGAGACACCCAUGCAGGUUGGUGGGUCUUGCCACUGGCUUCUAUGUCUCCCAGCCGGGGUAUUUCCUACGCACUCAGAAAAGAUGGCCCAGCCCCUAGAUUUAGAGAAGAGCAUCAGAGAAUAACAGUCCUGUGCCCUGGGUCUGACCCCAUCUCAUCAUGCCCUGGUUACAUGGGCUCAGUCUUCCUUGACCGUCACUCCUGUCGCUCUUGGUCUGCUUCCCCCACCCUGGUCUCUGGACACUUGAGGUUUUCCUUCCUCUGAACUUCCACCCAUGGUGUUCCUGUUGCCCUUCUCUUUCCUCCCUCCACCCCUAUAGUCCUCCUGUUCUUCUAAAGCCCUGGUCUGACCUGGCCCCACCCUUCCUCAUACAGGGGAGCCCACUUUCUGCCUGGACUCUUCUUGAAGGAGCACACUCCCUCUUCCUGGCCCUUCUUCCUCAGUGGCCAGCAGCCUGUUCAGCAGAUGCAUUUCUGUGUUUGCCCAGCAGACCUCCCAGGCUGGCCCAGGCGGGAUCCCUUGGAGAGACUUCUGGGAGGGGCCCAAUAAAGCUUUGUGCAAUGA
rnacentral:lncRNA from 1 species